rnacentral:lncRNA from 1 species
AUGACAGCUCCAGAGAGUCCUCAGGAACCCACAAACCUGUCUUUCUGCUCUGCCAUAGUUAGAGGGUGCCAUCCUCGAGGUCACAAAAGAGCCACUGGAGUGCCAGCCAUCGCAUACCUAGUCCCAGGCGGGAAGAAAAAGGAAAAAAAUAAAAGCAGCACCCAGAAGCUCUUUUGGAGUUUUAUUGGAAAUCCUGCCCAACCGCUUCUGCUUGGAUGUCACUGGCCAUCCCGUUUGCCAGGAAGUGGGAAACGUAGUCUUUCAGCUGCUCAUCUGGUCACCUCGAGAGGAGGGGAGGUUGGAUUUGGGCAGGCAACGUGCAGCUUCUUGCUCAACUUCCUACCCGAGUUUUCUUCUGCCUUAUUUGGGAUCGUGAGCAACACGGAACUCUCCAGGGCCAGGAACUGCUGGAAGCAAGUGAAUCGAUUUCUGAAACAAAGCGCUUUACACAGGCUUUGCGGGUGUCACAGAUUCUCCUCCUUCCUAGAGCCACGCAGCUCCCCCGGGGAAGGGGACCGGGGCACAGCCUCUCCUGGGGAACUGCAGGUAAACAACAGAGCCCAUGAACCGCAGGCGCUCUCUGAGGUCACCGACAAGGAAGGUUCUGUUAUGCGGUCACAUCAAGUGGCUCAGGCUCAGUGGGGGGAGACUUACGCCUGCGUGUUCGGCUGGUUCUGGAAGCAGCCUCCAGCCAAGUAUUUGUGUGAGUGGUUUAUUCAGGAGAAGCCCCAGCCUCAGCCUGCUGCUUCAAGUGGCUUGGGCAUACACUCCAUCUCAGGGGAAGUAGCUGGCACCCAGGCUUUCAGACUUCCCGCUCUUGUCAGCCAGGAGCUGAGGGCCCCCGGGACACCCCAGGCUCAGCGCCUCUGCUCCAGGAGCCCAGACAUCUGAAUAUGGAGCCUUUUUAGGAAGAAGAGUGACAGGCGGGGGUGGUUCUGUUUCGGAAGCCUGCCUUCCCGGGCUCCCCCGCUCAGCUGGCCGCCUGCAGGAUGAAUCUGCGGCAGAUCUGAGCUGCUUUCCCGGCUCUGGGUCUGGCAUGCACGUUGCAAGCACAGGCCACACUGCUGAUGCCGCGGUGCCUGCUGGAUCUCCGACAGGGGCACCCACGCUUCCAGGGGCCUGAAGAAACAGGCACUGGGAGGACAGAGCCUCCCACCUGCACUUGCACACAAAUGUUCAAAGCAGCGUGAUUCACAGGAGCCAGACGGUGGAAGCAACCAAGUGUCCAUCCACAGAUGAGGAGAAAUGGGGUCCACACCAGCAAUGGGAGGUUGGGCGGCUGUCAAAAGACAGGAAAUUCAGACACACACACACACACACACACACACACGCUACGACGCGGAUGAAGCUGAAGACAUUGUGCUGAGCGCGAUAAGCCAGAAGCGAAAGGACAAACACUGCAUGAUUCCCCCUCUGAGACACCCAGAGGUCCCAUCCACGGGGACAGGAGGAAGCCCGGUGGACAGGGGCUGUGCGGGGCGGGGGGGAUGCGGGCUUAAGGGGGCCGAGUUCCGCUUUGGGAAGACGACACAGCUCUGGAGGUGACGGUGCCAAAGGUCGCCCAACACCCUGCACACCUAAUGCCCCCAAAGUGAACCCUGAAAAACGUUAACACGGCGAAGUCUGUGUUCUGCGUGCUGUAUCACAACGAAAAAAACGGAAACAACAAGCCCCCAAAUAAACACCAAAAUCACCCGGGGUUUCGGGGCUGU